rnacentral:rRNA from 1 species
UACGUAGGGUGCGAGCGUUAAUCGGAAUUACUGGGCGUAAAGCGUGCGCAGGCGGUGAUGUAAGACAGGUGUGAAAUCCCCGGGCUUAACCUGGGAGCUGCAUUUGUGACUGCAUCGCUGGAGUGCGGCAGAGGGGGAUGGAAUUCCGCGUGUAGCAGUGAAAUGCGUAGAUAUGCGGAGGAACACCGAUGGCGAAGGCAAUCCCCUGGGCCUGCACUGACGCUCAUGCACGAAAGCGUGGGGAGCAAACAGG